GCUUAAACUGCUAAUAACACUAAGUACCGUUCAUAUAAUGAAAGGAAAAAGAGAGUGGUCAAUUGACCACCCACUCACCACUUCCACUCUGAGAAGAACAAAGCGUUCCCACACAUCUAGUCUGUAGCGUCAGUGACCAUCGUUCAGUGUAGGAAAACAGUGAAGCAAGUAGAAGUAUAGAUAAGGAUGUUGCAGUGAAUGGGAUCUACUUGGAUUUUGCAAAGGCGUUCAGUUAUGGCUCCACACAAAAGACUAGUGUUGAAUUUAAAAGAGAUUGGUCUUGAUGAACAUUCUGUUCUUGAAUAAUAAACUGGCUUAUUGUGUCACUGCUUGCAUAUGACACAAAACUAUGAAAGUUAAUACAGUGUGAGUAGGAUAUUGCUUCACUACAGAGGGUUUUUGAUAGAGUAGGGGUCUUGGCAGUCAAAUGGCAGAUUAAAUUUAAUGUAGAUAAAUGCAAAGUUCUCCACUUAGAGAUAAAAAAUGCAUAAGCAUAUGGUAUACUCUAUAUGGUAGUGAAUUAGAUUAAAUAAUACAUGACAAGGAUUUGGGAAUCAUUAUAGGAAAAAACCUGGGCAACAAUAUGCAAUGUCGAUCAGCAGUUGCUAUCCAAUACAAACCGUGUGGAAAUCUAUUCAUAAAUAGGUCUAUAAAUAUGACACAAGGUCACCCAUUUAGACUGGAAAAAAAGGAUAUUUAGUCUAAGCAAAGAACCAUUUACCAUUCACCCAUUUACCACAAGAACAAUAAAGAUGUGGAACUUUC